UACGUAGGGUGCAAGCGUUGUCUGGAAUUACUGGGCGUAAAGCGCACGUAGGCGGAUUUGUUAGUCAGGGGUGAAAUCCCGGGGCUCAACCUCGGAACUGCCUUUGAUACUGCAAGUCUCGAGUCCGAUAGAGGUGGGUGGAAUUCCUAGUGUAGAGGUGAAAUUCGUAGAUAUUAGGAAGAACACCGGUGGCGAAGGCGGCCCACUGGAUCGGUACUGACGCUGAGGUGCGAAAGCGUGGGGAGCAAACAGG
rnacentral:rRNA from 1 species